CCUACGGGUGGCAGCAGUGGGGAAUAUUGCUCAAUGGGCGAAACUCUGAUGCAGCGACGCCGCGUGAGUGAAGAAGUAAUUCGUUAUGUAAAGCUCUAUCAGCAGGGAAGAAAAAGACGGUACCUGAGCAAGAAGCCCCGGCUAACUACGUGCCAGCAGCCGCGGUAAUACGGAGGGGGCAAGCGUUAUCCGGAUUUACUGGGUGUAAAGGGAGCGUAGACGGCAGUGCAAGUCUGGAGUGAAAGGCGGGGGCUCAACCCCCGGACUGCAGUGGAAACUGUACGGCUGGAGUGCAGGAGAGGUAAGUGGAAUUCCUAGUGUAGCGGUGAAAUGCGUAGAUAUCAGGAAGAACACCAGUGGCGAAGGCGGCUUACUGAACUGUAACUGACGUUGAGGCUCGAAAGCGUGGGGAGCAAACAGGAUUAGAUACCCUUGUAGUC
rnacentral:rRNA from 1 species